AUGCCGGAUCUGGCCAUAACUUCUGGGUCAAGUUUGGGGUGCUACACUUGAAAACCCUUAUUCAAUCGGUCAUCAUUUACAACUAACGUUGAUGUGAAACUGUCAAGAGGAAAGGGAAAAGUGAAAGUUAUCGACGAGUGACUCGGGAAUCCCGAUUUGUAUUUUUAUGAUUCGAGAUAGAUUCAAUUUAUUGCAUAUACAUGUUAACUGCUUGAUUGAUCAUUGAGGUAAGUAUAUGGUGAUAGUAUAAAUUGUCUUGAUUGAGUUUGAUGUGGGAUAUGGAAAUAAAAGAAAAAUGAAAAAUGACAUGAAAUACUUGAAUUAUGUUAUGUGAUAUGGUAAAUGGAUAGAGAAAUGUUGUAUGACAUAUAA